GCGUAUCCUAUACAUUGGACUAUAGUAAUAAUAGUAGUCUGUAGGCGCAGCAUAUAUAUAUAUAUAUAUAUAUAUAUUGGUGAGAGCAACCAGGUGGUUCGUGCCCUUUGGUUUGUUAGAAAAAUAUGGAAGUAUUAAUGGCAAUCGAUAAGGUUUUUGUUACUGUAGUUGUUUAAGUCUUUUUCUCAUUUUCUUCUUGGUUCUUAAAUUAUUCUCUGGAAUGCAACUUUCAUUUAGAAUAUUGCAUUCAAUCUUACAACAAGAGAAUUAUGGCAUUUUUACCAAGCGGUUACUGUAACUCUGUUUAAACGAUUCUUUUCGGAUUUGUGUAAUUAAUAUUUAGGAUUUUAAUAUCUAUUAUCAGUUUGUUCGAUCGUUAAAUUAAUAAAAUUAAAAAACAAAAACAAGCGAUAAGUAUCGAAUAACACCAAGAAUAAAACUGAUAAUAUUAGUAGAUCAUUUAUAUGUCUAAAGUGUUUAUGUAACAAGUUAAAAUUUUAAUUAUAUACUCUAAAAUAUUUGGAAAUCUAGUAGGAAUAGAAGACACUUAUAAAAUUUUAAUUGUUUGCCCGCAUCAAUUAAAUUCCUCAUAGUCUAGUGAACAUGAAUGGAAUACUUUAAAGUAAAGACGUACGAUUAGGAAACAAACGUUUAAAAUAUCCAAGGGGAAAAAACGGAAGAAAAAAACUGAAUGAAAGAAUUGGUUCAGAAGGAGGAGUCAUUCAUUCAUUCUCUAUUUUUAACUUGUCGUUUCUUAUUUAGAUGUCACAAUCAUUGAACGUCUGUCUUUAUUAGAGGACAUGAAAGCUUCGGAAAAAUUCCCAAAGCAUCUUUUUUCCCUUUAUUGGAAAACGAUUUUCUUUCGGAAUUGAAGAAAACGUAAUGUGAUCUUAGAUACACCGUUGCGAAAUUGGUUAAACAAAACAGAAAGUGUAAAAUGUCUUCUUUUUUUCCCCUCCUCCUUCUCGGCUUGAUCUCCUAAUCUAAACUUGUUAGACUCUUUUUCGACUAAGUACGGACGAUAUAUUUUUUAUUUUUUUCAAACGAAUAAAUCUAAAAUAAGCUCCUUAUUUUUAUUUCGAACUUUUAAAAAAUUCUCGAAAGGUUUCUGCCAUUAGUGAAGGCAUUCGUGUUAUUUUAAUUAUUUUAUUGCGGGUCGAGGCAUUUACAUUCUGAAGAUAUUUUUAACUCUUCUUGCUCCCUUUGAGCUAAUUAUCGGACGAUGUUCUUUCUUCGUUACUAUAUAACUUGUAACAUUUAAGUGGUUGAAAAAAAAAACCAUAUUAAUACACGCUUAAUUUAUGGUUUUAAUGCACCGUCGGAUAUAUUUUAUCAAGGAAUACAGCCGGGUAGAAUUAACAGUAAAUUAAUAGAGUAGUGCAUCCGAAUACUGGAAUAUGAUCUCAUGCGCUAUUACCACCAAGAGACGUAGAGAGAGUUGUUUCUAUACUUUUUACAGCCCUAUAAAAAAUAGUCAAGGUAUAGGUAUUAAAUAUUCUUUAUGUAACACGUGGAUAUAUCUUCGUUGUUUCGGUCGUUAAAACAUGUCUUUGGAGGAAGAUAAUUCGAUUGGGAAAGUGUCACGUAUUCUGCCAGUCGAAUUAACCAAAGUGAAAUCUUCCUUAUUCGCCUCUUUUUUUUUUUUUCUCCUCUUCCGAAGCCAAUAAGCAAGUUUAGGUGUAAUAAUGUUUAUUUUCGCUUUUAAAUCAUUUUAACUUAAUCCAGAUUCUCGGGAGAGUUACCAGAUCAGCGGAAGAUUUAAUUUAAUAGAAGAUAAGUUUUAUUCCAUUCUCAAUUAACACUCCUCAUCCUGACUUCGCUGGCGUGGAAUUUAAUGUUAAAUUGCACACCGCGGUUUAAAUUAAUCCGACUGAUGCAAUGAAGAAGUUACAGAUACCUUAAAAGGGAUAUAUUCGUCGUUGUUUCUUGUAGGAUAACAGGAGGAAAAACGACAUUGUCGAUAUAACAUUGAUGUAGCCAUGUAACACCUGACAAUGAGUAGAAGAAACCAUCAAAAGUGAAUUAAAAACACAUAACUUCUGACCUACUAACAGGGUACGGUUGCUGUUAAAAAUUCGAUCAAGAAGUAGUAGGCGGUUGGGUUAAGAGUUUUUUACGGAUCCCGUGCACACUCUGUUUCUUUGCUUAAUUGGAUUUUUACCUUUACUUUAGUGACAAGGUUGUUUAAGUGACCAAAUUUUACGAUCCAAUAGUAACUUGUCAGCCUCCGACUUUCAUCCAUUCCAUCCGUUCCACUUCCUCAUCUUCACCGAAAAGCAUACAGAAAAGGAGGUUUUUUGUUAGAACCGGUUUCUUUUUUAAGUCCUUGGACGUCAACGGAUGAUGGAGAAACAAUAAAGGCUAAAAGGUGAACAGUAAUUCAUGCCACGGUUAUGUUAGACCAAUCGUGAUUUGAAUCUGAGCGUGUGAAAAUAAAGUAGAAACUCAUCGAUGAUACUUCUAACAUUAUCACGAGUUCUACAACACUAGAGGCCCCGAAGCCCGUACCACAAGCACCACACCCACAGCAGCAGGUAGGCCUCAACAAUUAGAAAUUUGUUUUUCAUUGUCCACCCUUUAUGUUAUCUAGAUCCAUAAAAAAAAAAAGAAAAACAAGUUUUAAAUUUUAUAAUAAUAAAAAAUGUAAAUAGAAGUUUUAAAACUUUUGUAUAUAAAGGCAUUUAAUUUGCAAUGAACACGGAUACUGUAUAACUGAAAAGUGAUAAUUGAGAUUGAUGUUAGCUGAAAUAACAACAUUAGGGUCCUUCAACAACUUCAAACACAAUCAAACUGGUCAAACAAUCAUUUUACAGCUCUGCAGCUACGAAAGCAGAUCAAUACAAAGUCGAAUCGACAAAGAAAUCAUAUUUGGAGGAAAUGGCCAGAGCAGAUUUGACAGUUUUUCAACCGGCAUUCUUGUUACUGUCUUCACUAGGAAGUUGAUAAAAGAAGGCGGAUUCUGGUAAUGAGAAGAAGCUACGGACAGUCGAGUGAUUGAACGAUUGUCUCCGGGGAUGUCCAGUAAUCGGUGCCUCAUUAAACCCAGAGGAAAGCUCACUAAAGUGAAGACAGUAGGAUGAAGUUGUCCGAGAUUCCACUACUACCAUUUAACACUCUCUGCCUUCCUUUCAAAGUCACAUUCUAAUUCUGAUACCUUAAAGAUAAUCCCGUGUGGUAGAUGUACUGAUCCUCUUAACGUGACAGGGUUAUAUGUCAGUUAGACAUCAAGACAUGCUCACUAACCGUUUGAUAAUAGCUUUCGAUCGUUAAGGUGCGAUUGUGGCUGAGUACUGCAGAGAAGCUGCUUCUCAUUUGCCCUUUUCUCUCUCUCUCUCUCUUUUUUUUUUAUCUUAAAUUCGAUUUACUAAAACUACUAAUACUGCAAUUAAUUGGAC
rnacentral:lncRNA from 1 species